GCGCCCGUAGCUCAGCUGGAUAGAGCGUUGGCCUCCGGAGCCAAAGGUCAGAGGUUCGAAUCCUCUCGGGCGCGCCA
rnacentral:tRNA from 7 species